UAAAGUAACACUUCGUUCUGAUGCUAGAUUAACUAUAACUUCUAAACUACAUAUGGUAAACUAAUAUGCCUUGUGAACAAUCUAUAGAUGAAGGAAGAUGUUUAACACACUAACCAUCAACCUUAGAAAAGGGUACCUAACCCACGGAAACUCCCACAACACCAAUGAAUUAUAUUGUGCACAGCUAGGAAACUAGGCAACAGAGAUUGUUCUUUUACAAGUGACUAAAUAAGGUGCCAGCAGUCGCGGUUACACCUAAACUUGAAGUUAAUCCUCACAAAAUAGAGGCCUAUAUAAUUGAUCCCAAUUUUCCUUGUAAAGUUGAAAUUUAGACUACUAUAAAAUACCCUAACGGAUCUUAUUAUUCCCCUCAACAAACCACAACUACAAGACAGGGAUUAGAUACCCCAUUAUUGAGUGGCUCUACACUAACAAACUCUAAAAACGAAAGUUCCAAACUUAAAGAACGUGGCGGUGUUCUACAUCCUUAUUAGGGGAUCCUGUGGCUUAAUUCGAUAUUCCACGACUAGUAAAGCUUUAUUAGUUUACAGCUUAUGUAUGGCCGUAUUAAGUCUGCACAUUAAUGCAAUAAUAGGAGACAUUUAAAGCGAAACUUUAAUAAUUCAGGUGACAUAUAGCCAAUAUAAAGCAGUUCAUGGGAUACAAAUAAUUAUUAUUACCCGAAAAUAGUUUGAAAAUUCUAUUAAAGGAGGACUUAAAAGUAAGCUUAAAACAACACUUUAAACUGAAUAAGAUCUAGAACGCGCACAAAUCGCCCGUCACUCCCGGAUGCUAAUCGGGAUAAGUCGUAACAUAGUAGGGGUAACGGAAGUUGCCCCUAAAU
rnacentral:ncRNA from 1 species